rnacentral:rRNA from 1 species
GGGUGAGUAACACGUGAGCAACCUGCCCCAGGCUUUGGGAUAACCCCGGGAAACCGGGGCUAAUACCGGAUAUGACCUUGCACCGCAUGGUGUUUGGUGGAAAGUUUUUCGGCUUGGGAUGGGCUCGCGGCCUAUCAGCUUGUUGGUGGGGUGAUGGCCUACCAAGGCGACGACGGGUAGCCGGCCUGAGAGGGCGACCGGCCACACUGGGACUGAGACACGGCCCAGACUCCUACGGGAGGCAGCAGUGGGGAAUAUUGCACAAUGGGCGGAAGCCUGAUGCAGCGACGCCGCGUGAGGGAUGACGGCCUUCGGGUUGUAAACCUCUUUCAGCAGGGACGAAGCGUAAGUGACGGUACCUGCAGAAGAAGCGCCGGCCAACUACGUGCCAGCAGCCGCGGUAAGACGUAGGGCGCGAGCGUUGUCCGGAUUUAUUGGGCGUAAAGAGCUCGUAGGCGGCUUGUCGCGUCGACCGUGAAAACCUGGGGCUCAACCCCAGGCCUGCGGUCGAUACGGGCAGGCUAGAGUUCGGUAGGGGAGACUGGAAUUCCUGGUGUAGCGGUGAAAUGCGCAGAUAUCAGGAGGAACACCGGUGGCGAAGGCGGGUCUCUGGGCCGAUACUGACGCUGAGGAGCGAAAGCGUGGGGAGCGAACA